rnacentral:rRNA from 1 species
GUUUGUCGCGUUGUUCGUGAAAUCUCACGGCUUAACUGUGAGCGUGCGGGCGAUACGGGCAGACUUGAGUACUGCAGGGGAGACUGGAAUUCCUGGUGUAGCGGUGGAAUGCGCAGAUAUCAGGAGGAACACCGGUGGCGAAGGCGGGUCUCUGGGCAGUGACUGACGCUGAGGAGCGAAAGCGUGGGGAGCGAACAGGAUUAGAUACCCUGGUAGUCCACGCCGUAAACGGUGGGUACUAGGUGUGGGUUUCCUUCCUUGGGAUCCGUGCCGUAGCUAACGCAUUAAGUACCCCGCCUGGGGAGUACGGCCGCAAGGCUAAAACUCAAAGAAAUUGACGGGGGCCCGCACAAGCGGCGGAGCAUGUGGAUUAAUUCGAUGCAACGCGAAGAACCUUACCUGGGUUUGACAUGCACAGGACGCCGGCAGAGAUGUCGGUUCCCUUGUGGCCCGUGUGCAGGUGGUGCAUGGCUGUCGUCAGCUCGUGUCGUGAGAUGUUGGGUUAAGUCCCGCAACGAGCGCAACCCUUGUCUCAUGUUGCCAGCGGGUAAUGCCGGGGACUCGUGAGAGACUGCCGGGGUCAACUCGGAGGAAGGUGGGGAUGACGUCAAGUCAUCAUGCCCCUUAUGUCCAGGGCUUCACACAUGCUACAAUGGCCGGUACAAAGGGCUGCGAUGCCGCGAGGUUAAGCGAAUCCUUUUAAAGCCGGUCUCAGUUCGGAUCGGGGUCUGCAACUCGACCCCGUGAAGUC